UCAAGGUUAUUCAUUUUCAUUGUUAUAACUGUGAAAUUAUUAAAAAAAAAAUUGACAAGUUCCUUACCUCUGCAUUCUAGAGUUGUUAAUUAAACUGUUAAAGGAAAUUUUAUUUGAGAUCAGUAAACACGUUGUGGCUGUAGUUUAGUGGUAAGAAUUCCACGUUGUGGCCGUGGAGACCUGGGCUCGAAUCCCAGCAGCCACAUUUAUUUUUUAAUGCUUGUAUUAUUUACUGUUAAACAACCCUAAGUUGUAUUGUGGGCUUAGGAAGUUAGGCCCCUCAAUUUUUUGGGUCAGAUCCAUUGGCCCAUCAUUGAUUAGAGCAAUUCUUCAUUAACUCCGAAAACAACGAUAUCUUUUUUCUUUUUCUUUUUUGGAUGCGAAACAAGUAACGAUAUCUUGAUCGACCGUUAUCCCUAUGUACAUAGACUUGAACGUUCACUAGCUAGUGCCUAGUUGGAUAGAAUCCAUAUCCGAUUCCCUAGGAUCCAUAACCUCUCACAUUGUUGAUUGUUCUUCUUGGUUUCACAGAUGGCUGGACCAAAAUGGGAGGAUUUGCAAACGGACUGAUUGGUGAAUAUUCUUACAAUAGUGGGCACGGAGUCAUUGCUAUAUGACAUUCCCUUUGUGUGCAAGUCAUGGUAUAGAGCGAGCCUUGAUCCUUCAUGCUGGAAAAUUAUUAAUUUUCAAGAAUUUGUUCAUCGGCCGCCUUUAACAAAUGAAUAUUUGAAGUUGAUAAUCAAUCGUAGUCGAGGAAAUGCUACUUCAGUCAUGCCCCCUACCUCGUGCCCAGAUGAGGUGUUAAGAUAUUUAGCAGACGAGUGCCCUGAGUUGAAGGCUCUAUAUUUGCCAUCUGUGAUGGGGAAGAAUUCUUCAUUUGUUCUGUUAGAAGUCAUAAGUAAGUGGAAAAAUCUGGAGCUGUUGAAACUUGGAAGUCCUUAUAGCGUUCACAUGGAAAAGAUACUGGAAAAGAUACUUGAAGAAAUCAGUCUUCACUGCAAGAAUUUCUGUCAUUUAGAGAUUGUUAUUAUUGAACUUUUUUGGAGAGAAGUAGUGUCAGCCAUUGUCACCUUUCUGCCAAACAUAAAGUACUUAUAUCUGAGAGAUGGAUUCAUUGAUCAAGAGAGUUUAGAGAUAAUUCUGCAGGGCUGCAAGGAGCUUUGUGCAUUUGUUCUUUAUGGUUUAAAACUUUAAAUAGGAUGAACAAUUACUGGAACUUGCUUCACACAGAUCAGUGUCAUUUGGGGUUGAUGGAGGGAGCUUGUGGUUGUCUAAUGACAAAUUGAGGAUGCUAAGGAGGGCAAAGUUGUUGUUUGAGUUGAGGCUUCUCUCUUGUCGAAUGAAUUUGUU